GGUUAUUCUUCUUCAUGUGAAAAUUGAUCACAGAACCUAUUAGAGCCUCCUGGAACUGCAGCUCCUCGGCGUAUUUGGCGUCGGAAAACGGAAAGACGACUUCCUGUUGUUCUUCAUCAUCGAAGAGCAAAGAAAGGGAAAUAGGCAAAAGCGACUUCGCAUGGAAGGAGUCUGAUCUUUUUGAAGCUGCUUCAUGAAGAAGGUAUAAACGUUUUUCCCUUUUUACCCUUCAACUUUCUUUUCUUUUGUAACUCAAAAAUUAAAAUAUUAUUGUAAAAUAUAUUAUUUUCAUUUAUAUUUUGGAAAGAAAUUAAUUGUUGAAAUUUUAAGUAAAGAAAUUGUAGAAAUCUAAACUAUUCGGUAGUAUAAAAAAUUAAGUAGGAAAAAAAAUUAUGCAAAGGAAAGAUCCUAAUGCUUACCAAUAAAAUGAUUUCUUUAAUAUUAUUAUAAAUUAUUUAAUGUAACAGUUGUGUAUAUUUAUAAUGGAUAAAUUUUAUUCCUUGA